rnacentral:rRNA from 1 species
UACGUAGGUGGCAAGCGUUGUUCGGAAUUACUGGGCGUAAAGGGCUCGUAGGCGGCCAACUAAGUCGGAUGUGAAAUCCCCAGGCUUAACCUGGGAACUGCAUCCGAUACUGGAUGGCUUGAAUUCGGGAGAGGGAUGCAGAAUUCCAGGUGUAGCGGUGAAAUGCGUAGAUAUCUGGAGGAAUACCGGUGGCGAAGGCGGCAUCCUGGACCGAGAUUGACGCUGAUGAGCGAAAGCUAGGGGAGCAAACGGG